CCUUCGAUAGCUCAGUUGGUAGAGCGGUGGACUGUAGAACGUGUGGAGGGAGCUCCGUUGAGCAGUCACCAGGAGAUCACUUACCAUCCAAUAGAAAUCCAUAGGUCACUGGUUCAAAUCCGGUUCGAAGGA
rnacentral:tRNA from 1 species